rnacentral:lncRNA from 1 species
UUUUCUUCUUCUUCAUCCAUGCUCCACGCCAUUCUUGAAGCUUCCAUGCCAUUUUCUCUUUAUCCACCAUGAAAUCAAGUUUUCUUCACUUUCCUUUCCAUGUUUUCUUUUCCUUUCUUCUCUAAACUUCUUGAGCACUAAAUUUACAACCUUUAACCCCAAUUUCCAGCACAUCUAAACCUUAGGAGGAGAAGAAAGAAAAAGAGAGAAAGGAAGAAAAAAGCUUGGUUUUGGUGAUUCAAGCAAGGAACGGUAAGAAUUCUUGUUCUUGGCUUGAGUAGUCUUUGAAAUGAGUUAGUGACUUAGAGAAAUGUCUUGUGGAAGCAAAGAUUGGUUUGAUUGGAGAAAAAUUGAUAACAUGUAAGCCAAUAAACCCAUGGGUACAUGAAGGUGUUGGUCCCAAUAAUAUGUG